rnacentral:SRP_RNA from 1 species
ACACAGACCCUGUGCAAGGUCGUGUCGUGAACCAUGUCAGGCGGGGAACCGAGCAGCAUUAAGCGGAUUUCGGCUUGUGCCGCAGUCAGCCUGUGUUCA